GGUUACUAAAUUUGUGUUUGUCUUAACAGUAUUUCAUCAUUCAUAUAUGAAAUUUGUGGGUUUGUGAUUUUUUCAGAUAUUGAGUAGAUUAUUCGAAAUCUGAGAAGUAGGAACAAUUAGAUUUUGGGGGUACUCAAGCACAUCAGCUUCGUGAUAAGCUUGAUUCGUACUCAAUUUAUGUACCUAAAGCAGAGACAUUGUAUAUACUAAUCCAUUGCUUUUGCUUUUAAAAGUAGGGUCUGUGAGGAUGACAUUGAUGGAGGAACACUUGAAAAUUUUCAAAUCUGUACUGGUUGUCAACCAAAAGAGAAGACUUAGAUGACAUUGAUGGUGCUCAGUAAAAAGCUUCAUGAACGUGAGGAUGGGAGCCAUCUGACAUUGAUUAGACUUUGAAGUGCUGAGAAUUUGGGGUUGCAAAACAUCCAAGCUUGGAUUUUAUGUUAGCAUCUCUGCUUCAGCUCACAUCAAGCUUGGAUUUUAUCAUGUUUCGGUACCUCCAAUAUAGACGAAGUUAACUCACUUGUCCAACCAUUUCGAAUAUGAGAUACUAAGAAGUUUUUUAUUUACCACUUUUGAAUGUAAGGGUAAGACUUGGACCUUAAACCUUGAUUGCUGAAGCUCUAUCAGUAUUCUAUAUCUAGAUUACUUUCUUUAUCAUAUUCUAUUAUCUACCUUUUCCUAGUAAACAAGCUUGAGCAACUGUGAUUGCAUCUCUGGAGAUAAAUUCCAAUGGAAGUAUCGAUAAGUAGGAUCUUCGAGAAUUUCUGAAAUGGGAUGUUGUCCAUCUCGAUUUUCCAUCCUGGAAGAAUCUGAAGCUGCCGCUCCAACUGAUGAGUUGGAGCCUAUAUGAUCCAACUAUAGUCCGGUAUCUUACAGGCACCUUCAAGUAUGCCAUUUUGAACAAGAUGGAUGUGCUGAUCUUGAGUAAGCUGUAUAGGAGGCCCUAGUUACUUGGAUCCUCUUUCCAUUGAUAAGGAAGUAGUGAACAUUCUUAUUUGUAUGAACCUCUUUGAAGGAAGGAAUCAUAACAAUACGAGGGAAAUACCUCCGAGAGCCUACCUCGUUGUCCCUUUUCCUAUGGAUAUUGGUUAAGCAAUGGAUUUCAUACAUGUUGAAUGAGGUUCAAUUUCUUGAGGAAACUUGGGAAUGCUCUAGUACUUCAAUGGCAUAUCAACAAAGGACCAGAGAAGUGGAUGAUUUGAAUGAGUUUGUAUAAUGAAAGGGAAGGAGUUUGCAUUUGCUUCUGAUUACUAAAUUGCAGAUUGAAAAAUACAACAUUGCAGGCCUGUGUUUCGGUUCAUUUAUUCUAUUGCAGGCCUGUGUUUCAGGUUUAAUUGUGCAGGCCUGUAAACUGGAAGUCCAGGUCCAUGAAAAUGAUCUGGGAUACCCAUUUUUUUAAUUGUAACAGAAACAAUUGUCACAGGGAUAACUGUGACAAACAUUGUGAAGUAAAAAUAACAGCGUCAUCAUCCUACUGCUGUUACAAUUGAGAGUAACGGUUUAAUCGUUAUAAAAGCCGUGACAACAGGAUGA